rnacentral:rRNA from 1 species
GAGAGCGGCGGACGGGUGAGUAAUACCUAGGAAUCUGCCUGGUAGUGGGGGAUAACGUUCGGAAACGGACGCUAAUACCGCAUACGUCCUACGGGAGAAAGCAGGGGACCUUCGGGCCUUGCGCUAUCAGAUGAGCCUAGGUCGGAUUAGCUAGUUGGUGAGGUAAUGGCUCACCAAGGCUACGAUCCGUAACUGGUCUGAGAGGAUGAUCAGUCACACUGGAACUGAGACACGGUCCAGACUCC